rnacentral:rRNA from 1 species
AACGAACGCUGGCGGCAUGCCUAACACAUGCAAGUCGAACGAGACCUUCGGGUCUAGUGGCGCACGGGUGCGUAACGCGUGGGAACCUGCCCUUAGGUUCGGAAUAACUCCCCGAAAGGGGUGCUAAUACCGGAUAAUGUCUUCGGACCAAAGAUUUAUCGCCUUUGGAUGGGCCCGCGUUGGAUUAGCUAGUUGGUAGGGUAAAAGCCUACCAAGGCGACGAUCCAUAGCUGGUCUGAGAGGAUGAUCAGCCACACUGGGACUGAGACACGGCCCAGACUCCUCCGGGAGGCGGCAGUGGGGAAUAUUGGACAAGGGGCGAAAGCCUGAUCCAGCAAUGCCGCGUGAGUGAUGAAGGCCUUAGGGUUGUAAAGCUCUUUUACCCGGGAUGAUAAUGACAGUACCGGGAGAAUAAGCUCCGGCUAACUCCGUG